UGCCAGCCGCCGCGGUAAUACGGAGGGUGCAAGCGUUAAUCGGAUUUAUUGGGCGUAAAGGGCGCGUAGGUGGGAAUGAAAGUCAGAUGUGAAAUCCCGGGGCUCAACCCCGGAACUGCAUUUGAAACUUCAUUUCUUGAGGGUAGGCGGAGAAAACGGAAUUCCAUGUGUAGCGGUGAAAUGCGUAGAUAUAUGGAAGAACACCAGUGGCGAAGGCGGUUUUCUAGCUUAUUCCUGACACUAAGGCGCGAAAGCAAGGGGAGCGAACAGGAUUAGAUA
rnacentral:rRNA from 1 species